rnacentral:lncRNA from 1 species
AGUGAUGUGGCAGCAGCGGCAGGUCGGAUCACGUUGCUGGCCCUGUGCUGGUACCCGUUUGAGACCGGAUUAAGGAGGGAGGCUUUGGAGGUGCCAGCGGUAGUAAACGAGCGGAUUGCAAGUUGCUUCUUCUCGAGGCAACCUCUCCACCCAGCGCCAAGGAGUCCCUCCAGGCCACUGAUCACACAAUCGGUGGAAAAGCAAAAAGCCACGUUCACAUUCCUGCACCGUAACAACGGACGAACCCAGGGAGUCGCAUUUUGGAGCCAAGGAAGCUCAGGCUGCCCCGCACCCCUGCACCCCCACUCCCCCCUCCUCCUGCCGACUGCAUCGCCUUUGGGAAGAUGAAUAGCUUGGCCGAAGUUGUUUUUCCUUUCCGGUGGCCCUGAUCAGGUGUCCCCGCCCCCUCCUGCCGUUCGCCUUCUCUCGCCGCCUUCUCCCG